UGAGUGAGGGCUGUUGGUUGUGUUAGAUGGCUUAGAAGGACUGGCUCCAAAUAAAUCACCAUCAGGGAAAAGGGAAAAGCAAGGGAUUUUAGAUGGCGGGGAUAGUCCGGAUGUUGGAGGACGAGGACCAGAAUAACGGUUGAGUAGAUGGGGGGGUUUGGUGAUAGGCUGGUCGGGAGUGGUGAAUGGGAAUAGAUUUUCAGCAACUUGACUCGUGUGGACGGGGUCAGACAGAUGGUUGAA
rnacentral:lncRNA from 1 species